rnacentral:rRNA from 1 species
ACAUGCCUACAACAUAGCGUUAAUGCACCAGAUCCCAUUAGAAUUUCAAAGUUAAGCACACUCAGGCUAGAGUAGUACUGGGAUGGGUGACCACUCAAGAAGUCCUAGUGUUUUACAUGCC